UAGAUGGGUAUAGUGUUUUGUAUGGAAAUGAUGAAUGAUCUCCAUAAUUUUGCCUGCUAUUGAUUAUUCAUCGAUCGGUAUGAAAAACACGCAGUUUUGAUUAUUAUAAAAGGUUGUGCAUAAAGUGUGAGACUCACUCUUCAUCAGAGACCUCCGUCUAUUCUGCACACCUUCUCUCAGUGUUUAGUGUGACAAGGCUUCAAGUCGAACUACACUUUCAUUGAUAGCAUAGCAACGAGUUUUUGCACUUGCUGCAAGCGAUUGGACACUGACAAGAAGUAUGGACGCCAUUUCAACUUGCUUGAUGUUGGUUGGCCUGUUGUGUUUUGGUGUUGGAUUUUCUGUUGAAGGCGAUACCCAUUUAGGUACACUGAAACAGAUUGCAACAGGAGCACGGCACGUUUGGGUUGAGAACACCGACAACGAAGUCUUUUGCAGAGAAGUGAAAAGUCCCACCAGCUUUGGAAAAUGGGUUAAGCAACCCUGGUCCAAAAUGGGGGGGUUAGCUGUUACUCCUAACGGGUACAUAUGGGCACUUAAUGACUUCAAGGUGUAUCAGCGAACACAUAUAACUGAAAUCAAACCCAGUGGUACCGAAUGGACUCCCAUGGGACAAUUUUUGGCGUAUAUAGUUGCUGCGGGUUACUCUGGGCUGUGGGCUACACCGUGGCUGUCGUCUAAGAGAAUGGUCUACUGUCGAAAAGGCACGUAUGGUGAUUCAGGUGAUCACGGUUCAGCGUGGAUUCCAAAGAACGUUCCCGACAUGGAGUUUAUUAGUCAGGUCUUCGUAGGUCCGAACAAUGUAUGGCUUCUCGACGCGGAGGGCAGUCUUUUCUACCUGCCUGUGCUUGGUGACUGUAGCUUUGGGUCAUGGCAGUCGUACGAUGGUCAUUUGACUUCAGAGAGCACCAAGAACAUGAAAAGGAUCUCCAUUUCACCGGCGGGAAACAAGUGGGCACUGUGGAAUGAACGGGUGGGCCGGGGAGCUGACAAAGAUGCUGAGGGAUCCAAAUGGCUCUUGGAUGACGACCAGCUGAACUUGAUUGAUAUUUCGGCGGGAGAGGUUGGUGUUUGGGCUAUUGACAACUCACGCGUUUACUAUCGAUCUGGAACGUAUGGUGAUGGGUAUGAUACAACUUCACUCACAGGUUCCUGGGAAGUUGUGAAUUAGCCCUAGAACGUUUUUAUGGCAAAUAGAGUCAAGAUAUAAUGUUCACUUCAGACGAAUCUGAUGGUAUUACAAAGAACAGAUGCCGCACGCAUUCCAGCUGCAAUGUGAAGUUGUCGAUUUUGUCUCAUAUAUACAAACGCAGGGAGUCAACAGUGCAAAUCAAAAGGUCGCUCAAAAUUCAUCCGACUUAUUUUCAUGGUGACGCAGAAUACCAACACAAUGGCGUCAACAUAAUUUAUUUGACGAUACAGAUAAAAAGGGAGAAAAAAGCAGUUGUAUUUUUCCUUUUUCACAGACGUGAGGGGAGUUAAGGCUUAUAAAGAAUUUAAAAAACAAAUACUUUACCAACUUAGAAGUAUUCAUUUUAGUAUUUAAUUCUUGAAAAACUUGAAAGGAUUUUCACCCUGGGUUUCUGUUCCACUACGUUGAUGAAAUGGCAAUCCAGUUUUAAAAACUUUUUCAAAAACGGAGGGUAAAUUAAUGUGGGCUAAUUCAAUUAUUUUUCCUCGAAUUUUAAAGACUGAGGAUGAGUAUGCAUGAAAAGGUUUAUUUUAAAGAAUAUUGUGGAAACAAGAUCCUAGAAUCUUAAAAUCUUAGAAGCAUCACGUGUAGUUGGUUUUAGUUUUGUAAUUUUGAGACACCUAAAAGGCAUAAUCUGGCUUUGUAGUUUUUUUAUUUCUUCGAUUAAACAAUAGUUCCAUUGUUACGCGUUGAGAACCCUUUUCCUUUUCACAAAAAAGUAGAAUGCCUUAUUCAGUGACUUUUAAACUGAAGUGUUUUUGAAAGUGUUUCAAGUAUUGAAGAUCUUAAUUACAACCUUUAUUCUUUAUAGUUUUUCACACUUGCCAUCAAAUUUUGUGUAUUCCUUUGGCUAAAAUACAAUUGUUCACUGUUUACCAUGCACAUCUUAUGUAAAUUAUACAAAAUCCUUCUGUCAUCACUCUGAAGAAUGUGGGCAAGAUGUGGAUUAUUGAGGCUAUACACCUAUUCCGACUUUUUUUCCAUUUCUUAUCAACUCUCCUUUAACGUGAGUCACCUUGGUGAAGAGAAGCAAUGACUGACAGCUAGAGUGCCUUGCCCGGGGGCACACGCACCAUGACUCCAGGCUGGAUUCGAACCCGCAGCCUGCGGUUUUAGCCGCCGACUACAAACCCGAUACUCUUUACCCACAAGGCCACGGCACAGCACAAGUUCAAGAGUCACAAAAACAAUAACACUUUUUAAUGUCAGUAAUUUAUUAAAAAUUGAUAAUGAAAACUAAUAUUAAAAACACAUAUGAUAUGGUUGAAGGGA